rnacentral:lncRNA from 1 species
ACGUGCUGGUACCAGGACCCGUAGGACACUAGAGAAGUGGGCAGGGGGCACCGACACAGGGUUGCUGUAUAUUCUAUACUAAUAUAAUCUGCAUCAAUGCCAUCAUACCCUGAUCUGGAGCAAGGCAUGCCUGGUCCCCACCAGCUCCCCCUCCUCUGCUGACCUGUGAGCACCCACAUGCUGCCUUUCUUAAGUGUGCACUGUAGAGACUCACUAUCCUUGCAUCAGACCCUCAUCAGAGCAAGAGGCAGA